UACGUAGGGUGCAAGCGUUAAUCGGAAUUACUGGGCGUAAAGCGUGCGCAGGCGGUGAUGUAAGACAGAUGUGAAAUCCCCGGGCUCAACCUGGGAACUGCAUUUGUGACUGCAUCGCUGGAGUGCGGCAGAGGGGGAUGGAAUUCCGCGUGUAGCAGUGAAAUGCGUAGAUAUCGGGAGGAACACCGUUGGCGAAGGCGACUUUCUGGGCUGUUACUGACGCUGAAGCGCGAAAGCCAGGGGAGCGAACAGG
rnacentral:rRNA from 1 species